UUCAGGAAAAUAUUCAUUUUAAAUGUAUAUGUUUAUGUAUUUGUUAAGUUCACUGUACUUCAAAAUUAUAUUACAUGAACUUAAAAUGUAUUAGUUACGACUAAAGUUUUGAGUUUAGUCCACUUAUCGGAUUUACAGUGCAGUCUUACAAUACAACAGAAAUAAAUAAGUUAAAUCAACUUCCCCUUUAGUUGUAAUAACUUGAAGUUCUAAGUUAUGUUUACUUAAGUUUUCUUAACCCAUUAUUUAACAUUUUUAAGGCAACCGGUUUCCUCAAUUUUUGAAAGUAAAUUCAACUUAUCCAACAUUAUAAUAAACAUAGACGUUUCCGCAAGGGACUAUAAGUCUGAAUAAAUGUUGCCAAGUGUAAUGUAAACACCUUCUUAUGAAGAUAAGAAGCAGAAUUAUAGACUGAUUUAAUAUGUAUUUGUUAUUGUUAAUUUUUGUGUAGUGUGUGUGUGUGUGUGUGUGUGUAUGUGUGUGUGUGUAAAGAUGACUACCACUGCUUUACUAAUAGUUUGUGUUUCUUCUCACAUCUUUAAUGUUACUGUUUGUUUUUACUUGUGAAGCUUUCCAGGCUACAGAAGCGCUGAGAUGUCACACUUGUGUUAACACGGUGUGUUCAACUAUGGUGUGUGGACCUGAAUACCAGCGCUGCUUUACUGGAACAAGUACAGAGAACGGUCAGACCACAAUGAUGAAAGGAUGUGCAACCAAGGCUCUGUGUGAUGCAACUCAAAACUCUGAUAGGAUGAGCUGCUGUGACUGGGAUUUUUGUAACAGUGCUGUGGGGGUGAAGCUGAGUCUCUUCAUCAUGCUGGGAUCUCUGCUCUCCUCCAUCCUCUUCAUCUGAAACCCCUGCUGCUGCUCCUCUCUCAAUCAUUUGUAAUAUUGAUAUUAAAAUCAUGAGAUUCAAA